AUUGAACGCUGGCGGCAUGCCUUACACAUGCAAGUCGAACGGCAGCACGGGAGCAAUCCUGGUGGCGAGUGGCGAACGGGUGAGUAAUGUAUCGGAACGUGCCCAGUCGUGGGGGAUAACGUAGCGAAAGCUACGCUAAUACCGCAUACGAUCUGUGGAUGAAAGCGGGGGACCGUAAGGCCUCGCGCGAUUGGAGCGGCCGAUAUCAGAUUAGGUAGUUGGUGGGGUAAAGGCCUACCAAGCCGACGAUCUGUAGCUGGUCUGAGAGGACGACCAGCCACACUGGGACUGAGACACGGCCCAGACUCCUACGGGAGGCAGCAGUGGGGAAUUUUGGACAAUGGGCGCAAGCCUGAUCCAGCAAUGCCGCGUGCAGGAUAAAGGCCUUCGGGUUGUAAACUGCUUUUGUACGGAGCGAAAAGGCUCUCUCUAAUACAGGGGGCUCAUGACGGUACCGUAAGAAUAAGCACCGGCUAACUACGUGCCAGCAGCCGCAGUAAUAC
rnacentral:rRNA from 1 species